AUCACGAGCUAGGGGUGCCAAAAGGCUGAGAGUCCGCCGGAGUUCUUGGACGGACGACCCUCACAACCUGACCUGGGUAAUACCAGCGUAGGGAAGCGGAACAGCAGAAGA
rnacentral:ncRNA from 1 species